rnacentral:rRNA from 17 species
AAUAGAGAAAUAACGCUGAUGAUUGUGGAUAACUCUGUGCGUAAAAAGGUAUAAAGCGGGGUUUUGCUGGGGAAUGCAGCAGUCAGUCAUUUUUCUGCAAUUUUUCUAUUGCGGCCUGCGGAGAACUCCCUAUAAUGCGCCUCCAUCGACACGGCGGAUGUGAAUCACUUCACACAAACAGCCGGUUCGGUUGAAGAGAAAAAUUCUGAAAUUCAGGGUUGACUCUGAAAGAGGAAAGCGUAAUAUACGCCACCUCGCGACAGUGAGCUGAAAGCCGCGUCGCAACUGCUCUUUAACAAUUUAUCAGACAAUCUGUGUGGGCACUCGAAGAUACGGAUUCUUAACGUCGCAAGACGAAAAAUGAAUACCAAGUCUCAAGAGUGAACACGUAAUUCAUUACGAAGUUUAAUUCUUUGAGCAUCAAACUUUUAAAUUGAAGAGUUUGAUCAUGGCUCAGAUUGAACGCUGGCGGCAGGCCUAACACAUGCAAGUCGAACGGUAACAGGAAGAAGCUUGCUUCUUUGCUGACGAGUGGCGGACGGGUGAGUAAUGUCUGGGAAACUGCCUGAUGGAGGGGGAUAACUACUGGAAACGGUAGCUAAUACCGCAUAACGUCGCAAGACCAAAGAGGGGGACCUUCGGGCCUCUUGCCAUCGGAUGUGCCCAGAUGGGAUUAGCUAGUAGGUGGGGUAACGGCUCACCUAGGCGACGAUCCCUAGCUGGUCUGAGAGGAUGACCAGCCACACUGGAACUGAGACACGGUCCAGACUCCUACGGGAGGCAGCAGUGGGGAAUAUUGCACAAUGGGCGCAAGCCUGAUGCAGCCAUGCCGCGUGUAUGAAGAAGGCCUUCGGGUUGUAAAGUACUUUCAGCGGGGAGGAAGGGAGUAAAGUUAAUACCUUUGCUCAUUGACGUUACCCGCAGAAGAAGCACCGGCUAACUCCGUGCCAGCAGCCGCGGUAAUACGGAGGGUGCAAGCGUUAAUCGGAAUUACUGGGCGUAAAGCGCACGCAGGCGGUUUGUUAAGUCAGAUGUGAAAUCCCCGGGCUCAACCUGGGAACUGCAUCUGAUACUGGCAAGCUUGAGUCUCGUAGAGGGGGGUAGAAUUCCAGGUGUAGCGGUGAAAUGCGUAGAGAUCUGGAGGAAUACCGGUGGCGAAGGCGGCCCCCUGGACGAAGACUGACGCUCAGGUGCGAAAGCGUGGGGAGCAAACAGGAUUAGAUACCCUGGUAGUCCACGCCGUAAACGAUGUCGACUUGGAGGUUGUGCCCUUGAGGCGUGGCUUCCGGAGCUAACGCGUUAAGUCGACCGCCUGGGGAGUACGGCCGCAAGGUUAAAACUCAAAUGAAUUGACGGGGGCCCGCACAAGCGGUGGAGCAUGUGGUUUAAUUCGAUGCAACGCGAAGAACCUUACCUGGUCUUGAC